rnacentral:snRNA from 1 species
GUACUCGCUUCGGCGGUACAUAUACUAAAAUUGAAACGAUACAGAGAAGAUUAGCAUGGCCCCUGCGCAAGGAUGACACGCAAAAUCGUGAAGCGUUCCACAUUUUU